rnacentral:lncRNA from 1 species
CUGACCUUGUUUGUAGGUGACCUGGGGUGGACAUGGUGUCCCGGAAACCCCGCUUCCUUGCCUGGGGAGAGCAGAACCUCCUGGGCCAGGCAGAGUCUCCUGGAAUCCUGGGGAAAUGCUGGGUUAGAACAGGAGGAGCUUGGAGCAUCUCAUGGAAACAAGUGCCACCUCCCUCCAGAAUGCCGCACUUGCUCCUGUUCCUCGGAGAAAGACGAGCCUUUCCAGCAGAAUGGAGCAGCCACGGAUACACACCCGCUCCCACCCACACACUCGCGCCGGGCCCGGGCCGCCAGGCGUGGAUGCACGCACACGCAUGCACACGUGCACACGCAUGGACACGCUCGUGCUGCAAGGCCAUGGGCCACCGUGUGCUGUUCCGUGCACAUUUAUUCUUCUCUGAGGACCCAGGCCGGCUUGUCCGUGAAGUGCCAACAUUAGGGGCUGUGCAGGGCAGGGUGAGCGAGGACUGGCCGCCAGCGCUGGCCCACACUGCUGCGGCCAGUGGCCUGGACGACCAAGGACGAGGCCGGGGCCUUGAGAAAAAAGUCCCAGCAAUGAGGCAGGGACCUCACAGCAGAGGGAGCUGGACCCAACCUGUUUUCAAGACACGAAUCUGCUGCAGCCCCCGACGGGCCCCAAGAGACUCUGCCUUGAGUCUUUUCUUAGGAGUCCACCCACGGCCGCAUCUCCAACUAGAUCAAGCCCACGGCUUUUCACACUGCUGGACCAGACACCACGAGAGAUGUUCGGUCAACACUGUGCAUAUCUCAACUUUCAGGUGGACGCUGCUGCCCGGAAAUGACUUUCACUUAUUUUCAAUCGGUCUACUUAGAUAAAGAAAAUCGGCAUUGACUACGCUGUGACCAAGACAGCUUAGGGAAGAAGGGCAGGGUGGCUGCUGACCGCAGGCUCUCACCAGACCUGUGUACGAUGGGUGGGCGAGCAAGUGUCCAUGAGUGCAGAGACAGACAAGCAGAUGUCUAACAAAGGAGGAGACAACCAGCAUCGAACAAAUGACCAAGAAAUAGAUGCCUAGUGGGUGAAUUGAUCAGCAAAUGUAUACACGUGUGCAUAAACCAAUCAAUAUCUAAUAUCUAAACUAAUAAAUGUAUGAACAAAUACAUGCCUAAUGAGUGAAUAGACAAAUAUCUCAUGAAUGCGUGGACAAAUCGAUAUCUAAUGAAUGGACAAACAAAUGCAUAUCUAUGAAUGGAUGAACAAAUAAAUAUCGAAUAAAUAAAUGAAUAAAUACCUAAUAGAUAUAUGAACAGAUAUAUCUCUAAUGAGUGAAUAAACAAAUAUCUCAUGAGUACGUGGACAAAGCGAUAUCUAACGAAUGAAUGAACAAAUGCAUAUCUAUGAAUGGAUAAAGAAAUAAACAUCUCAUAAGUGAAUGAACAAGUGGAUGUAUAUCUUGUGAAUGAAUAAACUAAUGCAUAUCUAGAGGCUAAGGGUGGCCCCUUCCAGCCCUGUGAACCCAUGACAUAAGUUCAGCCACAGAUUCUCUUGAAU